rfam:Triticum aestivum genome assembly, contig: Triticum_aestivum_CS42_TGACv1_scaffold_081073_1DS
GUUGUACUCCCUCCAUUCCGAAUUACUUGUCACUGAAAUGGAUGUAUCUAGAACUAAAAAAUGUCUGGAUACAUCCAUUUCUACGACAAGUAAUUCCGAACGGAGGGAGUACUUA